rnacentral:rRNA from 1 species
CCUACGGGAGGCAGCAGUGGGGAAUAUUGCACAAUGGGGGAAACCCUGAUGCAGCGACGCCGCGUGAGUGAAGAAGUAAUUCGUUAUGUAAAGCUCUAUCAGCAGGGAAGAAAAUGACGGUACCUGAGUAAGACGCCCCGGCUAACUCCGUGCCAGCAGCCGCGGUCAUACGUAGGGGGCAAGCGUUAUCCGGAUUUACUGGGUGUAAAGGGAGCGUAGACGGCAGUGCAAGUCUGGAGUGAAAGGCGGGGGCUCAACCCCCGGACUGCUCUGGAAACUGUACGGCUGGAGUGCAGGAGAGGUAAGUGGAAUUCCUAGUGUAGCGGUGAAAUGCGUAGAUAUUAGGAGGAACACCAGUGGCGAAGGCGGCUUACUGGACUGUAACUGACGUUGAGGCUCGAAAGCGUGGGGAGCAAACAGGAUUAGAUACCCGAGUAGUC